rnacentral:lncRNA from 1 species
UGAGAAGAUAGAGAGAUCGAGAGCAGCGGGUUUUGUAGCGGUGAUUACCGUCGACAGAAAGAAGGAGAGGAGAGGUUCUUAGUGAACUGAGUAUGGUUCUGAGUGAGCCGCGCGAAGCUAAUGAAGAAGACGAUCUUAGUGAUCGAUGAAGGGUUCUUUAUGAGCCGUAUGAAGAAGAGUUCUAAGUGAACCGAUCGGUUCUUAGUGAGCCGGUAGAAGACGAGGAAGAAGACGAUUUGUGUGAUCAAAACAUACCUGCUCUGUGUGUCGCAGGCGUGAGAAAGGAGGACCAGAUCUUUGUGAUCAAAAGGAUCGAAAACCUUAGUGGUGCUGUGUGAAUCAAUCAAGGAAAAAAAGGAGAAUCUUAGUGAUUCCAGUAUCUAUGUGAGAAGUUUGAAGAGAUCUGUGUGAUCCGAAAAGAAAAAAAAAUCUGUAUGAUUGAGAUUUAAAAGUUUUGUGUGAUACAAGUUUGAUACCUGUGUGGUUCGACUAAGAAGGCUGGAAGCGUUGGUGUGAUUGAAGAAUCAGAGGCUUUUGAAGUUCAGUGGGUAGAAAAUAAGGAGUUUGAGGGGUAUUUAUGGUGGUUGAAAAGUCAAACACAACUUGUUUGAGUGAAUUACUGUGUGAGUAA